AUUAAACGCUGGCGGCAUGCCUUACACAUGCAAGUCGAACGGCAGCACGGGGGCAACCCUGGUGGCGAGUGGCGAACGGGUGAGUAAAGCAUCGGAACGUGCCCUGGAGUGGGGGAUAACGUAGCGAAAGUUACGCUAAUACCGCAUAUUCUGUGAGCAGGAAAGCAGGGGAUCGCAAGACCUUGCGCUCUGGGAGCGGCCGAUGUCGGAUUAGCUAGUUGGUGGGUAAAGGCCUACCAAGGCGACGAUCCGUAGCGGGUCUGAGAGGAUGAUCGCCACACUGGGACUGAGACACGGCCCAGACUCCUACGGGAGGCAGCAGUGGGGAAUUUUGGACAAUGGGCGAAAGCCUGAUCCAGCCAUGCCGCGUGAGUGAAGAAGG
rnacentral:rRNA from 1 species